rnacentral:lncRNA from 1 species
CCAAUAUUUGCAGCUUCCUUCUCAAGAUCUUUACAAGAACAUAACUUAGACAUUUUGAAACUUCCUGCUGAACUGCUAUCAUGUGGAGAAAUCAAAUAAGAAUUUUAAAAAUCUUUUUUUUUCCUCUCUCUCAAAUGAGAUAGAUACAGGGAAUUAUUCUUGUGGAAAUACAGGCAGACCAGGAAUCUUCCACCAAAGACUGGGAAGCCUGGAAGCCCAAAGACCCCAAAGACCUCCACAGAUUUCCAAAGGUUCUGAAGUCAGAAGCUCUGAGCCUAGGGCUUCCACGGUGGGAGGUGGCAGUUUUUCAGAUGGAUAUCUCAGAGUCUUCAGAUCUGUGAUGUCAAAUAACCCACAACUGGCUGUCCCUGACUUAUACAGACAUAAGAACUUCUCUGUUUGCUCUUGAAAAGCACCAUGCAAACCAAGGAUCCUGAGGAGGGGUUUGUUUCUCUUUUACACUUCCCAAAAAUAUCGGUGAGGUAUUUCCUUUUUAGCCUGCAAUCAUAACCAGAAAAGGAGAAGCAUUCAAGUUGAAAUUAAAAGCAUGCAAUCUGCCUGUUUUUCAAUAUUCAUCUUUCUGGAAAUUACUAGAUUCGUAUAGUUCCAUAACUACAACAUUGUGAAAAGUUGUGUUAAACAAAAAUAUUACCUGCUAUAAUAUUUAAAAUUUUAAAAAAAUUAAAAAAUCAAUCUUCUCUGUCAGCUGGGUCCACUUCAUAUGACAUAGUCUCAUUUUCUUUUUGAUUGCUGACUUCAGGAUCAGUAUCACAGAUGCUCCAUUUUCAUGUUCUGUGAAGUUCUCUUCAUGCCUAUUAGUCUUGGGGGAAGGAUUCAGUAGAAAACUUAAAAAAACCUAGAAGCUUUCAGCAUCAUUUGAUGGAAAUUAAACCAUUUUGAAGGUUCAGCAGGUCACAAUCACAUAGAUGCAACAUCUAUGUCUUCUAGUCACAUUAAAAAACAUGCUCUUUACGUAAUCCAGGUCCAUAAACUUCAAAAUUACACCCUGCUAUGUUGUAUCAAGACGUGAAACUACUCUAUGCUGCCACCAAGUAGACAAAAUAGAUGAAGUCACAACAGAAGACAAGCUCAAAAAUGAAAAUAUAAUUCGACUAUAUAAUUCGACUAGCCUCUGCCAAUCCAUAAACCGCUUGACCUCACUUUUAGAACAUCUGUUUCCAAGAGGAUACUUACAGCCAACUGAAUCUUGUCUUUUGAGAUGAAAGAGUCUACUUUGAAUUGCUUCAAUGUGUGCUUCAACAUUAAUAAAUCACCAUGCUAUGUGGCA